rnacentral:rRNA from 1 species
GAUGAACGCUAGCUACAGGCUUAACACAUGCAAGUCGAGGGGCAUCACAAGGUAGCAAUACUGGGGUGGCGACCGGCGCACGGGUGAGUAACACGUAUCCAACCUGCCGUUUACUCUUGGAUAGCCUUCUGAAAAGGAGAUUAAUACAAGAUAGUAUCAUGAGAUCACAUGUUCACAUGAUUAAAGAAUUUCGGUAAACGAUGGGGAUGCGUUCCAUUAGAUAGUAGGCGGGGUAACGGCCCACCUAGUCUACGAUGGAUAGGGGUUCUGAGAGGAAGGUCCCCCACACUGGUACUGAGACACGGACCAGACUCCUACGGGAGGCAGCAGUGAGGAAUAUUGGUCAAUGGACGCAAGUCUGAACCAGCCAAGUAGCGUGAAGGAUGAA